rnacentral:piRNA from 1 species
UAGGUGUCAGUGUUUAGUCAGUUUUUCUGGUU